rnacentral:lncRNA from 1 species
AUUGGAUACAAAAUAAAAUAUAAAAAACAAAAAAUGCUACAAAUUUUCAAAACGUUUUCAUGUCUUCUUGUCAAAAUUUUCAUAUUUUCUUCAAUUUAUCACUUUUUACCUCUUUAAUAUUUUCCACAAAUUCUUCCAAAUCUAAAAAAAAUUAAAAAAACGAUUAAUAAAAGAACACUCACAAAAAUGCAUAUGUAUAUAUCAUGUAAGAUUCACAUGUGAUUGUACUUUGAAGAUUCAUAUGAAAUUCACAAGAAAAUUUUAAAAAGUAAAUAAUGAAGAACAUCCACACAAAAUGCAUGUGUGCAUAUAGACGUGAUUCACAUAUGUGAUUAACUUGUGAUUUACAUAUGAAUCACAUGUAAUUUAUAUGCGAUUCAUUUGUAAUUUACAUUUGAAUUACAUGUGAUUUACACGUGAAUCACAUGCAAUUCAUAUGUGAUUCACUUGUGAUUUACAUGUGAAUCACAUGUAAUUCAUAUGUGAUUCACGUGUUAUUUACAUGUGUAUCACAUGUAAUUACAUGUGAUUAACUUGUGAUUUACAUGUGGUUCUUUUUGCGUUAAGUAAAAAAAUCGCUCAUAUACUCAUUAACUUCACUUAUAAAAAAGAAACAAUACAAAACUUCUUACUACUCUCCCAAAUUCGUGCCUCUCUGUGAGUAACCAAACAACUAGUGUGCACAACUUCUCGUUCAUAGUUUUUCAACUCACAAUAGUCAACAGUGAUCUUAAUUUUAUAUGAAUGUGACUAAUGGCAUGCAUGAAUACGUUGAUUCCAAUACUCCAUCUAUUUGUUGUCUUAUGGUAAUCACCAUAAUGAAGCAAGAUAAGAUAUUGCAUGCAAGAAUUGAAUUGGAUACACAAAUUAAAAGCCAACCAACCUGUAAAGGACGUAUGUUGAUACCAAAUAGAAUUGAAGAGACUUCACAAUAUCUUCCCAAUAAUAUAGCUUCACAAGAUGAUUCCCAAGUUGAGUUACCGAAAACAGCAACUCCUGCAAGUAUAAAUAAAUGAUUUCCACUAUAUCAAUCUUUCAUUCUUUGUAAAAGACGUAAAUGUCCUCCCGCAUUCAUACUUAUUACUGGUCUUUGUCAAAAUUCUACAGCCAUAAACAUAAAUACCUGUUUUUUAAGCUUCAAUCAGAUCUGAAUGUAACCAGAAGAUGAAAUCUGAUAACUAGUAGAAUAACUAUAGUUUCAACAGGUAUCAUCCAUCACCUCUUUCUGGAGAGAAAAUCAUAGCCUACAACAUUCACAAUAAAAUUGGAAUUAAUGAACAAUAGGCCAGUGAUGGAUACAUAAACGACUUGGAACAUAUAUGAUUCUUCAACAUUUCAACUAAUAACGAAAGAGAAAGUUCCUGAACUGAUGAAUGAGAGCAGGGCCGGUCCAUAGAAUUCUCAUGCCCUGGGCAAAAAGAAAUAAAAAUGCCCCAUUUUUUCACAAUAGAAUCAAAAUAUAUGAAUGUAAGACAAGUUUCAUGAAAUAGAAAUAUAAAAAAACUUUUUUGUUAUAAAAACGAUAUUCAUUUUGUUUUUG